AAUGAACGUUGGCGGCGUGGAUUAGGCAUGCAAGUCGUGCGGAAAGGCUCCUUCGGGAGUACUCGAGCGGCGUAAGGGAGAGUAACGCGUGGAUAUCUACCCCCUGGACUGGGAUAGCGGCGGGAAACUGCCGGUAAUACCAGAUAAUGUCUGCGGACCAAAGGUGUGAUUCCGCCGGGGGAUGAGUUCGCGUCCUAUUAGCUAGUUGGUAGGGUAAUGGCCUACCAAGGCAAAGAUGGGUACCGGGUGUGAGAGCAUGGCCCGGCUCACUGGGACUGAGACACUGCCCAGACACCUACGGGUGGCUGCAGUCGAGAAUCUUCGGCAAUGGGCGCAAGCCUGACCGAGCGACGCCGCGUGCGGGAUGAAGGCCUUCGGGUUGUAAACCGCUGUCAGAGGGGAGGAAAUGCGUGGGAGUUCUCUCUCACGUUUGACCUAUCCUCAGAGGAAGUACGGGCUAAGUUCGUGCCAGCCGCCGCCGUAACAC
rnacentral:rRNA from 1 species